UGGUGAAUAUUGCACAAUGGGCGCAAGCCUGAUGCAGCCAUGCCGCGUGUAUGAAGAAGGCCUUCGGGUUGUAAAGUACUUUCAGUCGGGAGGAAGGUGUCAAGGUUAAUAACCUUGGCAAUUGACGUUACCGACAGAAGAAGCACCGGCUAACUCCGUGCCAGCAGCCGCGGUAAUACGGAGGGUGCAAGCGUUAAUCGGAAUUACUGGGCGUAAAGCGCACGCAGGCGGUUGAUUGAGUCAGAUGUGAAAUCCCCGGGCUUAACCCGGGAAUUGCAUCUGAUACUGGUCAGCUAGAGUCUUGUAGAGGGGGGUAGAAUUCCAUGUGUAGCGGUGAAAUGCGUAGAGAUGUGGAGGAAUACCGGUGGCGAAGGCGGCCCCCUGGACAAAGACUGACGCUCAGGUGCGAAAGCGUGGGGAGCAAACAGG
rnacentral:rRNA from 1 species